GAUGAACGCUAGCGGCAGGCCUAAUACAUGCAAGUCGAACGGUAACAUGAGUAGCAAUACUUGAUGACGAGUGGCGCACGGGUGCGUAACGCGUAUGCAAUCUACCUUUAACCGGUGAAUAGCCCGAAGAAAUUCGGAUUAAUACACCAUAGUAUGAUGAGGAGGCAUCUCCUUAUCAUUAAAGUUCCGACAGUUAAAGAUGAGCAUGCGUGACAUUAGCUAGUUGGUGAGGUAACGGCUCACCAAGGCCACGAUGUCUAGGGGAUCUGAGAGGAUUAACCCCCACACUGGUACUGAGACAGGGACCAGACUCCUACGGGAGGCAGCAGUAAGGAAUAUUGGACAAUGGUGGCAACACUGAUCCAGCCAUGCCGCGUGAAGGAUGAAGGCCCUCUGGGUUGUAAACUGCUUUUUCUACGGGAAUAAACCCCUUUACGUGUAAAGGGCUGAAGGUACCGUAGGAAUAAGCACCGGCUAACUCCGUGCCAGCAGCCG
rnacentral:rRNA from 1 species